AGGAAAGUAAAUUAGUUUGUAAGUUUACCACACCAGUUCAAUCAGCAUUAGUAGGAUUGUCGUUUUGACAAAUUGGCUAACAACCAAUUUUCGCCCUUUUUUCUAUUUCUUUUUGAUAGGGAGGUUUCAAGAUACAAUAAAGGCAUGUUAAAAAAAAUCAAACAAAAAUCCAGAUGGUAGCCCAUACAUUUUGUAGAAUGACAUGACUUUUCAGCUAGAAUCAGCUCUGACAAAGGAGGAAGGAAAUAAAUAGAUAAAUAUUGACAUUGGUAAAAAUUACAUAGAUGUCGAUCCUCAAUUCUACUAUGAUACCAACAAGGACUUACAAUUAUAACUCUGCAAGAAAUCCUCAAGGGUUCUCCGGCUUUUAUUAGGGCACACGAAUAUUCUAUCAGAACUCGAAUAUAAGUGAAUGUAGUAGAAAAGGAAGUUAUAUAAUAAUGACAUAAGCUGAAGAAAAGAAAAUUCAUUCUUCAGAUUACCAACUGCCAAAAGACGGGUGAGUAAAAAAUACACCCAAUUUUCAUACCUAGAUAUAGU
rnacentral:lncRNA from 1 species